CCAUUAAUGAGGCCCAGUUGUACUACGAAGCGGUUGGUGGGCAGAAAAAGAGUCGCGUUUAUGGGUUAGGAUCCCAGGCUUCAGCAUAUUUUCAUGACCCAUCUCAUUGUUCUGCUUCAUAUACGUCUGCACCCCCAGUGGAUCCUCCUGCAGUUGAAGCAAUGACCAUGAUGCAGAAUAAAAUAGAUCGGCUAGAGACAGAGAAUGGUCGAAUUACCACAGUGCUGG
rnacentral:lncRNA from 1 species